rnacentral:snRNA from 1 species
CUUUCCUAAAGAUAUUCUAAAAUUGGAGCAAUACAGAGAAGAUCAGCAAAGCACCUGAUCAAAGAUGACGUGCUAAUUCGUGCUGGGUCCCAAAACACC